rnacentral:lncRNA from 1 species
CUACAAAAUAAGCACAGAAUAAACUUUUGUCUGGUACAUAAAAAAAAGUUUGGUAAAAAAAACUGACAAUUUAGGUAAAAUUAGGGUAUUCUCAUGUUAGCAAAUUUAUUUUCAUGACCCAAAAAAAAAAAGUACAAACCUAAAGGCAAUAAAAUGCUUUGCCAUGCACAGCCUGAUACGACCGCAGAUGUAUAUUGAGCAUAUAAAUAACACCAAAUUUUUUUAUGUCAGUUGAAAUCAAACAUAUUUUUAAUUUUGGAUCCUUUAAACUUCAAUAUGGACUAAUUUGAAAACAGGCACAGGUAGACCCA